UCGACGAUGAACCUCCUUCGGGAGGGGAUUAGUGGCGAACGGGUGAGUAACACGUGGGCAAUCUGCCCUUCACUCUGGGACAAGCCCUGGAAACGGGGUCUAAUACCGGAUAUGACACGGGGUCGCAUGAUCUCCGUGUGGAAAGCUCCGGCGGUGAAGGAUGAGCCCGCGGCCUAUCAGCUUGUUGGUGAGGUAGUGGCUCACCAAGGCGACGACGGGUAGCCGGCCUGAGAGGGCGACCGGCCACACUGGGACUGAGACACGGCCCAGACUCCUACGGGAGGCAGCAGUGGGGAAUAUUGCACAAUGGGCGAAAGCCUGAUGCAGCGACGCCGCGUGAGGGAUGACGGCCUUCGGGUUGUAAACCUCUUUCAGCAGGGAAGAAGCGAGAGUGACGGUACCUGCAGAAGAAGCGCCGGCUAACUACGUGCCAGCAGCCGCGGUAAUACGUAGGGCGCGAGCGUUGUCCGGAAUUAUUGGGCGUAAAGAGCUCGUAUGCGGCUUGUCACGUCGCAUGUGAAAACACGGGGCUUUAACCUCUGGUUCUGCAAUU
rnacentral:rRNA from 1 species